UUUUCACCCAUCGCAAACUCCUCCCACCGGAGUAACACGGGCCAAAUAAUUGAAUCCCCUCAAUGUUUAGAGGUUGGCUUGGCUAGCCUUCGCUCUGAUUGGAGAAACUGGCUCCUAGACAGAGGGGGACCUUGAGUUACCGCGGACUGGCUGUCUAGCUGUAAUGGGGGGCCUGGCCCCGGGCACUCAACCGUCAGAAUUAGCUAAUUGUUAUACAAUAUAGCUAGGUAGCUAAUUAAAGACGGUGGCAGUCUGGUUAAGGUAGGCUUGUAUGGGGUUCUCUCCCCGCAAGUUUGCCUGUGAUUUUAUACCUACGCGAAUGCAGCACGGUUGCAGUAAAAUUGGAACUUCAGCAGCGCGAGCUAGCCCAGCCCCCGCUAGCUGGCUAGCGAACGAGAAUUUGCUAGCGGAUCGGGGCUUCAGUCCGUAUCAGCUUAACCCUCAAACGGAAAUGAACACAGGCUAUGAUGAAUCCUCUGAGAGAAGACUGCAAGUCACUGCCAGUCAGACAAAAGGGGAUCCGCAACGAAACGGCUCACCGUUCCUUCCCUUCCUUCCUGGAAGAAACACUGUCACCCUAAAGAGCAAAUGGAAAAAUGACAUCUGUAUAUUUUAGUUUCAUAUUUUUUUGUUAACAUGUCUAACUUUUUAUUUUAUUUUGGUGUGUGGGGGUAUAGAUGAGAUCAUGAUGACUCUGAAGUUUCAUACCUUCUCUCUCUCUUAUCUGUGAUUUAUUAACAUGUUCGAUAUACAGUAGCCUGUAAGGGACUCUAAGCCUUGACGAUAUGUUUUGUAUUUCGGGAAGGAGAGGAAAAGACUCAGGAAUGUAGUAAUAACACCGAUACCUGGCUGACUUGAGCAGAGUCUCCUACAUCUGAGACCUAGCCUGGUCCCGAGAUCUGUUUGUGCUGUCUUCCGUGACAUUGGCAAGAUGGCACAAACCGAUUUGGAACCAGGCGAGCAGAGGCCCAACAUCUGCGUUUUCAAACUCUACCGGUGGCCCCUUUUUUGGGGGGGCUGAGUAUAGUAACUGACAGGCAGCAGCAUGUCAUCCACUCUUCCACAGAACAUAGUUGAAACAGCUGCUGGAUCCUCCAUGUUUUAACACUCAUCCAGUUCUAUCUGCUCUGUUCACCUCACACACUCAUCAGCAUUGAUCUCUGCUUAACACCAUGUGUAGUUAGGCCUAGACUUAUCAUUGUCUGUACAAACACACUUUAAAAAAAUUAAUCAAAUGUUUAUUUGUGACAUGCUUCAUGAACUACAGGUGUAGACUAACAGUGACAUUCUUUAAGAGUCUUUUUCGAACAAUUCAGAGUUUAAAUCUUGAAAGGGAGUGGUUCCACCUCGACGCAUAACCAUUCAAACAUUGGGUUCGGUAUUUUACCUCUAAUAGUCCUAAUCCUUCAGCUCUUUAGGUGAUUCACACCCUUCAGCUCUCAAAAAUCCUCUGCUCAUUCUCAAAACUCAUAUUUACAUACUCUAAAGUAUUUACUGAGGCUAAGAGUCCCCCCCUUUUUUCCAUUUUAGAUUACUAAAUGCUUGGUAGUUCAUUUUUUAAAUUGUAUUUUAUUUUUUUUAUGUAGUAUUUUAAGUUUCGAAUGUUUACGUUGCAAACUAGUAUAAAACCACGUGUAGACACAGUCAUGUACGCUGUGAUGUAUAGAAAUGCAUUGUUUCCUUGUGGUAAGUGAGUGAGAUGCUGCCACGGAACUGAGACACUGAUGAUUGGUGCUAUUUUGGACUUUAAUCUGCUCCUUGGAAAGGUAGCUGAGAUGGGUUUUAUUUUUUAUUUUCAUGUUCUGAUUAAGGAAGGGGUUGGUUCUUUGACGUUUGGUUGUUGUAACUCGGUCUGGAUUGGCUUUGUUUUCCCCUUGUCGUUUUCUGUGCGGCUUUCUCAUUGGACUUAAGGAAAAUAUCAACUUCUUUCAUGGUAAUGUUUUACUAAAGGGGGGUUUAGGUGAGAAUAUUUAUGAGGAUACACCAUGUUGAUCGGAGCAAUCACAAAACUGCAAUCAUUAACACUAGUUAGCCUUUAAACCUGAGAUGUGCAAUCAAAGGAGCACCACAAGUCACUUUUUAGAACAUUUUACGGUUUUUGUUUAUGUUCUGAUUGACAGACAAUCUGGAAACCAAGAGUGCAUUUUUCCCCUCACGUGUUUGUUUAACAGAUCUCCUAAGCGAUUUUGCACACUUGUGUGUCAAGGCCCAGCCUGUUAGGGUUCAGGGUUUCAACUUUUCUUCACCAGCUGGAUAUGACUUCAUGCUAUAGUGAGUCAUGUGUGAUUAUCUCAUGUUAACAUGAGUCUGGAAUCACACAAUGCAUUUUAUCUUGUUUUAGAAAACCAUUUUCAGGGCACACAUGUAUCAUAAAGUGAACUCUGUUUUAAAAAUAUAUAUAUUUUUCAUUGUCUUUGAAUUAUUUAGUAAAUUAAUUGUUGACUGAACCUUUUUAUUAAACAACUAAAACCCCAAAGUUUUUUUAAAAUUUUAGCAACAAAAAAAAAUUGACAACUAGGGUUAAGGGCCUUGCUCAAGGGCACAUUGACAGAUUUUUCUCCUAGUUGUCUCGGGGAUUCAAACCAGCAACCUUUCAGUUACUGGCCCAAUGCUCUUAGCCUAGUGGUUAUCUGCCACCCUAGCUAGAGAUUUAAAACAUCAAAGUUAUGUCAGUAUUUGCAGUUUUGUUUUUGCUUCCCUUUUUUUAUAUUGUUAAAUAUUCUAAUUAAUAAUAACCAACUUGAAAGCCCACUUUAGUUGUCUUUUGUCUUCCAUUCUCUCUCGAUAUUGGGACCGAUUGAACCAGCAUGUUCUGUUCUUGUUAAUUGCGUGCUCUCUUUUCGUCAUUGUGGUUUUUGUUUUGUGAAGAAAGAAAAAAUAUCCUCUUGCAAUUCUUUCCUCAUAGACUACUUAAUAUGAAUGCUGUUUUGUACAUAGCAAAGUGAAUAGCGUAGGCAGGCUGUGUUGCGUGAGGUAUUCAGUAUUUACCACUAAGGUUGAAAAAAUAUAUAUACAGUAUGCCAGCUUUGGGAAAAUGAUUAUAACGAUGCGCUUAACUUACAGUAUCCCAUGUACUUUACUUUGGCAAUUUUAGAAGUAGUGCAAUAAAUAUGCAAGCUUGUAAUUUGGUGUUUUAUCUGUUGAUGUGUGUGGAGUCUUCUUUCCAGUGCUGUAGGAAACUUGUGCAAUUGUGCUUUGUUAGAGAAGCCUGACUGGUCUUGGAAUACAGUUUCAAAAAGUCAUGUGAUUUUUUUUUUUUUUUUUUUUUUUCUUCCAAGUUGUGGUUUUUAGCCAUUAGUGGCAAACAGCAGAGAGCCAAGUAUCCAGAGAGCCGAUCCAAAGUGUGGUUGUACAGUUCCUAUGGCUUCCAAGUGGAUAUUCCUUACAACGUAGUUGCGCCACGGCAAAAUCAUUAGUCACGGCAAAUGAAUAUGUAACUUGGAAAAAUAUUUCUGCCUGAAGCCCACUUUGAAGAUGCUAGAGCAGUCCACAUUGUUUUUCCCCCUUUGAAAACAAAACGAGUAACAAAGUACCACAGUUGUCUUCAAUUUUUUUCCCCCCAUUUUUUUCCCCCCGCCAAUUCUCACGAGCCCAAAUAUAAUGACACAACCUUUAAACUCUAAAUGUAGAUUUUUAUUUUUUGUUACAUAAAUAAACAAAUGAAUUGAAUUGAAUGUUAAGAAAUAUAUUGGUUUAUUUAAGAAAAUAAAGCCAUACAUUUACUCAAUAGAAUAGUAUUGUUUUAGAUUAUCUUUCUCAAAUGUUUUAUUGUCCCAUAUAAUAAUCUGUACUCUUUUUGGGGGGGGGGUACAAAAAUGUAUUUGGCGACCCCACUGCAGACCCCAGUAGGGGUCGCGACCCCAACUUUGAUUACCACUGGAAUAGUUCACCUAUUUACAUAACUUGUUCUGUGGGAGUGAACCAUUCCUCUUGUGGAGCAUUCAAGUGUGUCAUGGGGAGGGAAACAUGCAUUAUGACAAGCAGUUGUAUUUGCCUUUUGUUAGAGGGGGAAUCCCAACUUUCCAAAACCUACUUUAUUUAUUUCUCAACUCCUAAAAUAUGUGCGAACAGCACCAUUUUAAACCCAGAGUUUUUAGCAGCACAAGAUGACUUUUUAAAAAUGUAUUUUUUACCUUUUAUUUCACUAGGCAAGUCAGUUAAGAACAAAUUCUUAUUUUCAAUGACGGCCUAGGAACAGUGGGUUAAGGCCUACAUUAUAUUCACUGUUUAUAUGCAAUUUUUUGGGAAUGUAAAAUUCAUCAAUAGGAUAAUAAAUAAUUAAAAGAACAUUUGGGAUCUGACGAAUGAUUAGCCCAAUAGGCAACCCCAUGCUUCAUCCUAUUUAUUUGCACUUUGCUGCAUCAGUUGGGCUACAAGUGAUGUUUAUUGCUAGUACCUGAUAAUCAUUUUGGGGUAUAAUGUUCUUAAGUUGCCAGAACCGAGCUUCUCAGUCCAACAUAAAAAUGAUCUGACCCCCAAAACAAGGGGGUACAUAUUUUUCCAGAGGAGAAACUGCGUUGUUGGAGGAACCUCUUCCCCCCCCCCAAAAAUACUUUCCCACCAACACAGGCAAACACUAAGCUCUAUGACAUUUUAAAGUACAGUAGCUGUCCUUAAACGGCAAACACAGCCGGAGAUGAUUACUAUCAUGGAUAAAUCAAAGAAUAUUGCAGAUUUGUGAAGGAUGACGCAGUGUUUAAUUUACCCACAGAAGAACCACAUCCCUCUUUAAUUCAAUACUGAGGUCAGUUUUACCCACUGAGAUGCCAUAGAAAUGCCUUAUUAGCAGUUCUCAGAGAUUCAGGUUAAUCUCUAUGGAGUUUCAUUCUGGGAAAGUGGAAAUGCAGUCAAGGGGAAUCUGAAUCAAACUAAGAUUUGGUGAACGAUGGCAUUUUAACUGAAGAGGCAUGUGAUCUUAAGAUUGAGAAACUUCCCUCUAUGUUCUUGUGUAACUGGUGUGUGAAUUUUGUGGGCGUAGAAACGGUCUUCCCACUGCAGGAUUUGGGCUGUUGGGUUCAUGCCCAUUAUUCCCUGACAUCUGUGUGGCAGGAGGGUCUGGUCAGACAGAGCUGAGCCACUACUGAGUCCUGGCUCCCUGGUGCU
ensembl:lncRNA